rfam:Picea glauca, whole genome shotgun sequence.
UCAUAUGUACAUGCCUAUAGUGUUAAUGCAUCAGACCUCAUUAGAACUCUGCAGUUAAGUGUGCUUGGGCUAGAGUACUGCUAAGAUGGGUGACCUAUCACGCAGUCUUAGUGUUUUACAUGCC